AGAAGAAGACGAAGAAGAAGAAGAAGAAGAAGAAGAAGAAGAAGAAGAAGAAAAAAAAACGUGCUGAGGGCUUGGCUCCUGUGUGUUCAUGUCCUCUUCUGAGCCUGAAGAUGAAAUAAAACCACAACAGCUGGUAAGUGAUCAAUGGCUGGACGACGUCUCGCGUUCAACUCGCCUUCAACUUGCAAGAACAAGCUUUAUUAAAGUGUAUUUUUUGUGAUUCACAGUAAGCAGGACGCCGACUUCACAACUCGGAGACAAAUUGCAGGCGCUAUGAACCGGAGCAAGGACUAAGCACGCCUCACAAUGAGGCGGUGACCUCCUAUUUGCUCUGAGCAAUAUAUGCAAGUCCAGAUUUACACGAUGUUGAUAAAGACGACAUUGUGUCCGCCUGUAAGACGUAUUAUGAGACUGUACGCAGGAGCUGAAGCUGCCAAGAGUUCAGCUCGGAGUCGAGCUAGAAGAAAGAGGCUUCUGGAAUCGAGGCAGAGUGUGCAGGCGGAUGAGGAAGUGGAACUGUGGAAGUCCGCCACCAUCGACCUCAUGUCUGGCGAAGAAGAUGGCGUCGUUGGCGGAGUCUCCGGAUGGAUUGUACGGCCGCCGUCAUUUCGUAGGGUUGUGCGCAAUUCUGUUCCCCCGUGAAAAUCUGUUUCCCCCGUGUCGGGAACGCGCUUUGCAGCCAUUUUCCCGGCG